rnacentral:misc_RNA from 1 species
GAUGAAGAACGUAGUGAAAUGCGAUACUUGGUGUGAAUUGCAGAAUCCCGUGAACCAUCGAGUCUUUGAACGCAAGUUGCGCCCGAAGCCAUUAGGCCGAGGGCACGCCUGCCUGGGUGUCACACAUCGUUACCCUCGCGCCAACGUCCAGUGUUGGGCACGGCGCAGGGCGUAUGCUGACCUCCCGCGAGCGGGGUCUCGUGGUUGGUUGAAAAUCGAGUUCGCGGUCGAGUGUGCCGUGAUGAAAUGGUGGAUGGGCGACGCCCGAGGCCAAUCCAAUCACGCGUGACUCUGUCCGGCUUGGACUCCUGGACCCCUUGGGCGUCUCCGGACGCUCCCCAGCGAGACCUCAGGUCAGGCGGGGCUACCCGCUGAGUUUAAGCAUAUCAAUAAGCGGAGGA